CCAAAAUGCCAUAUUUGCACCAAUGCAGCCUGUGGAAGUAUUCAAGGAUUCACUAUAAGUUUGGGCGACCAAUCAGAAGACACCAACACCAUGAACGAACAAAGACAACUUGUAAAAUGUUUUGGAAUUACCUCGGCCAAGAAGGCAAGCAGACCAAGAACUAGCAUCAAUAUAAAUGAACGAAGAUUUGGCAGCACCAGAGUCUGUUUCAGCAUUGAUAUGGUUCAUAAAAGUAGUUCAUAAAACUCAAAUUCCAACGACAGGAUUUAACUAUUUUUGUACAUGGAUCACCUCAAAGACUACUGAACAUAUUCCAGUGACAGGACAAGCCAGCAUGCCGAAAGAUAAAACUGUAACCCUGCAAGGUUGAGAACAGGAUUUCCUGUCAAUCUGGUCAUGGUCAAUGCAUAUCAACAGAGGAAACCGCAAGCAACCUAUUGCAGUUCAAUGUUUUUUUUUAUUUUUUUUUCCCGGAUUUAUGAACUAAUCCAGUUUUGUGGGAUAUGAAAAUUAUAUAGCAGGCUUUUGAAGCUCAUGUUCAGUAUCUUAAGCCUAGUAACAAAUCUUAAGCAGAAUAAGUGUGGAGAGCAUAGGAAGCCUAGAUUUAAAAGUUCAGUUAUAGGAACAUUGAGUUUACGUA